GCCUUUACCGAAGUUCGGGCAAAAUCCCUAAGAACGAUCCGGAAGUCCACCACCUGUUUUUUUGACACCCAACUUAGUGCACCAAAUUCUCAUGAAAAAAAACUCAAAGACAACACCGCACCUACGCGCAAUCUCAAACCCCGCCGCGGUAACAAUUCUCCCCUCACUAACCAAACUGCAGCGGCACUGCUUAACAAUUCCAUAACUCAAAAUUUAGGACAGCAGUGAUGAUAAACAAAAACUUCAGAGACAACUACAUAAAAUUCCUCACAAGUUUUGUAUACAACUCAUGAUUGAAUUCUAACAUCUACUUACCUCUAAACGGUCCUCAAAAUAAACCCUGCAAUCUGUUUUUUUUCUGAUUUGAGCAGCGACAUACGCGGAUUCAAACAGCGAUAACUUUUAAAAUAUAAUUCCGAUUUGAGCGCAUAAGUACUUGUUGGAAAGAUAAGAAAAAGCCCUACAUGAUUCUCAUACUGAUUAACACUAAUUACUCCCGAAACAUCCCCAGAAACUGCUAACACUACUGCGGUUCAUCACUCUGAAAAAUCUGUUUUCUGGACAGCCACAUACCCGGAUUCAAACGAUGAUAACUUUUAAUUUAUAACUCCAAAUUGAGCGCAUAAAUACUCGUUGGAAAGAUAAAACAAAGUUCUACAGGAUUCCCAAAUUGAUCCCCAUUAAAUCUUCACGAAAAAAAACUAAAAACUGCUGGAACUACCGCUGUUCAUCCACCACGCAAAAUUCUGGACAGCCCCCCCUCUAUCUAAUCGCAAACGCAACAUCUAAUCAAUUGAAUCGCAGCGCAAAUGAACAAGGGAUGAACACAAAAGAAAAAUCACCUUGGGUUCUCCCCUUUUCCUUCCUCCCUUCUUCCUUCCACCAAAACGAUUGGAGAUUCACACCAAAGGACGAUGAUCCGAGCGGCACGGAGUAGCACCUAGGGAGGAGGGGAUUGGGGGGGCGGCUAGGGUUUUGGUGGCUGCAACAAUGGAGGGAGGAGGAGGUG
rnacentral:lncRNA from 1 species